AUGGAUACGUCUAGUGCCGCUUCUGAGGUGGCAAGUUCUCAGUCGCUAAAAAGGAAUUCUGAUGACAUGGCAUGGGAAUUUGCCAUAUUGUGUGAUCCAAAUGAUUUGCAAAGAGUGAAGUGCAAGCUAUGUGGAAAAGAAAUGUCUGGAGGGGUCAAUAGGAUGGAGCAACACAUAGCACAAAUCAGAGGCUCAGUGACAAGUUGUAUGUGGGGCAAUAUUUGUCUAGAUGGAUGUACAAGAAAAACAUACCCUUCAAUGCUAUCAAUGAUGAUGACUUCAAACAAUUUUAUGUUGUUGCGGGAGGUGGAAAGGACUAGGGAUUUGUUGAAGACACAUGAGGCUGAGAGGGAGAUCACCGGGUGCUCUGUCAUGACUGAUGCUUGGACAGACAAGAAAAGAAGGAGCAUCAUGAACUUGUGUGUGCAUUGUAAGUUGGGGACAGUUUUUCUUGAAUCAAAGGAGGCAUCGGCUGAUGCACACACAAGUCUCUACAUCUUCAAUUACGUGGAUGAAUGCAUUGAGAAAAUUGGUGCUGAUAAUGUUGUACAAGUAGUCACGGAUAAUGCUUCAAACAAUAUGGGAGCAAAAGGGAUGUCGAAAGAAAAAAGGCCGAAGAUAUUUUGGACCUCAUGUGCAACGCACACCCUCAACUUGAUGGUAGAAGCGGUUUUUGAGCCAUUGGUGAAGGUGCUUCGAUUGGCUGAUAGUGAUGGACGGUCCAUGGCCUCUAUGCAUGGAGAAAUAAUAGAGGCAAGGAAGGCAAUAUUGCUUGCGGUUGAAAAUUCAGAGAAGGACUAUAAGAUCAUCGCAACAGCCAUGGAGGGCAAGAUGAAUGGGAGGUUAGAUACGCGAGAGUGGUGGGCAACUUAUGGACUACAAACUCCUACGUUGAUGCACAUGGCUUUGAGGAUACUCAACUUGACCACAAGUUCUUCUGGAUGUGAACGGAAUUGGAGUGUUUUUGAACAAGCUAUAGAGCCUUGUAGGAGUGCAAGAGUGAGAGAACUCCAUGAAGUAGAAGAAUUUGUUGCUGAUGAAGAUUCAGAAAAUGAGAUUGCUUUGGAAGAGGAGAUAGAAUUUGAGUCUGAUAAUGAUGAGAUGAUUUAA
rnacentral:rRNA from 1 species